CAACACCGCCACCGCGCCGGUUUCGGCGAGCCAUGAUGCUCUCGGCGGCUCGCCGCUCGAUCCGCGUCUGACCUUCGCAACCUUCGUGAUGGGCCGCUCCAACACGCUGGCGCAUGCCGCUGCACGUCAGGNGCCGCGGCGACAGCGUGAUGUUCAACCCGCUCUAUAUUCAUGCCGGCGUGGGCCUCGGCAAAACCCAUCUGUUGCAGGCAGUGACCUGGGCCGGGAAUUCCAAUCCCGAGCGCAAGGUGCUGUAUCUGACCGCCGAGAAAUUCAUGUACGGCUUCGU
rnacentral:misc_RNA from 1 species